CCUUUUUCGACUUCCAGCUUUUCGAGUUCGAGUGCCUGCACAUUGCUUGAUCCCCAGUUUGCCAGUGCCUGCACGUUGCCUGAUUCGGAACCGACAUGCGUAGAGGCAGAGCUGGAGCUGGGGCUGGCGCUGCGGGGGGCCGGCAGAAGAGCGCUGUCGAGCGGGACCUGUCGACCGCGCUGUCAUCGCUCAGGGCUGGCCAGGGCCUGCAAAGGCACCUCGUCGACAGGCUCGGAUCCUGUCGCGAUGAAAUGCUUAACAUGGAGCAAUCGCCCGAAAACAACGCGGCCGCGCUCGCUGUGCUAGGCUGGGCGGCACGCGAGGCAACGCGCGUGGCCCAGACGCAACAGGAGCCGCAGCAACGCGGGGGGCCGCGCUCCGGGGCAUCAGAGGAGGAGCUUUCGCGGCUGCUGCAGCUGGUGUCGUCAGCCCUGACGCCGAUGGCUUGGCUAACUGACGCAAAAUCCAGCCCGGAGCUGGGGCAGGCCGUGGCGCGCACACAGCUGCCGCAGGCGUUGGCGAGUCUGCUCCUGGCCCUGUUCCCGCCCGGCUUCAGGUGCUGCAGCGGUUCCGAUGGAGCCAGCCACAGCAGCCGCGGCAGUAGCAGCAGUGGCAGCGGUGGCAGCGGUGGCAGUAGCAGCGGUAGCGCGGGUGUCGGCAGCGGCGGCCUAAGGACGCGGCUGGACCUGCUCAUGUGUGUAGCGUCGGUGACCUCCGGCAUGUGGUCAGCGGGGGCACAUCGCGUACCCGAGCUGGUGGCCUGCCUCCAGGAGACCCAUCUGCUGGAGCGCGUAGCAGCUGCCCUGCUGCAGGCUCAGGGGGCGGAGUGCGGCCAGCAGCAGCAACAGCAGCAGCAGCAGCAGCGCAGUGGUGGCGCAGGCGCCAGGCCCUCGACUGGCAGCCACCGCAGCGGCGGCAACGGCAGCAGCUGCUACGUGGCUUGGCUCCGGAGCGCCAAAGAAGCCAAGCGGCUCUGGCUCACGUCACAAGAUAUGACAAAGCAGGUGGUCACUGUGACUGCGCCCGCUAUCCCGCCUCGAAUCUGGGUUAUGCCGGGAAACGUGCAAGCCAUCGCCGGGGACCUUCCGCAGUGCCGCGAGGCGCUGUCGGCUCCGGCCGUACAGCUGUGGCUGGGGCGGACGCUGGUGGCAGAGACCAACAGAUGCCUGGCAGAGGCGGACGAGGGGGAGGAGGAGGGGGAGGAGGAGGCAGCACAGGCGGCCGGCGGCUCAGCGGCGGACAGCUCUGGAGUGGCGGCGGUGCUGACCAGGGACGUACAGCAGCAGCAACGGUGGUUCGGGCUCCCAGAGUCCCUACGCCCCGGCGGUCUGCCGCUGCCAAGGGAACGCAGGAACACGGCUGACCUGUUGAUGGAUGUCGUGGAGUCAAUUGGGGUGGUAUGGGGCUUCACGGUGUCAGGGCCGCGCCUGCCGCGCCUGGGGCAGCAACCGCCACAGAUAUUCUUUGAAAGGCAUCCUGCUGGCGAGGCAAUGCGCAAGGUGAUAGGCGGCGUCGGCACACCUGCAGAGGCGGCUGCGGUGGCGGCGGCGGAGGCCCAGCUGCCGCCGCUGCACCCGCCGUCGUAUACGGCCGUGCAGGUGUACGAGAUGACUCAUGCGGCCCUGACGGCGGCGCUGGACCACGCGCCCGCAGAGGCCGUGUGCCUUCACGCGCCAUCGCUGCUUGCGCGCUUGGUGAUGGAGCUGCCGCCGCGUCAGGCGGCGGCGCGUCUGCCGGGCCUGUGGCGCACGCUGUCACAUGUGCUGCCGCGUCUGGCGUGCGGUGGCACUGGCGACCGCGAAGCAACCUUUGGCAUGAUGUGCCAAGGUCCCUUCUGGGAGCCUGGGGCAAUAUGUCGGUCGGAGUGUACACGCCUAUACAGCUACUACCUUUGCAUGCUUCUGCAGCUGAAGCUGCAGCUGCCGUCAGCAGGGUCGGGGGCUUUAGCGGACUCAGGCGCGGGACCGGCGGCGGAUGCCGCCACUGCAGUCGGAGGGCCGGGGCCGGGGCCGGACUUCAGCCUGCGCUGCGCGCUGGGCGGUGGUCUGCUUCCCGCCAUUGAGGCCCUGCUGCGGCGGCUGUGCAGGACUGCCGCACAGGCGACGGCGGGGCCCAGCGAGGCAGCAGGCUUUAUGGAUGCAGCACAGCAAGCGUCUUACACGGUGCACAUUCUGCUGCGCUGCUCUGGCGUGUGGCCGGCUAUGCUGGCGCACGGGCCGCCGCAGCAGGCGGCGUCGCUGGUGCGCACCAUGGGCAAGGCGCUGGCGGCAGUCGGCGACACGUGCGCUGCGCUGCAGCAGCGGCCGCAGCUGCUGGGGGCGGCGACGAAGAUGGUGCGUUCAGCGGGGGGCUAUGAAAUGGGGCAGGGCGACUUCUUUUCCGCGCUAGCCGCGCUGCUGGAGCAGGCGUCUGUCAUGCUGGACCAAGGGAUGGUCCUCCAUGGCCUCCGGGGCCUGGACGCGGCUGUGGCAGCAGCUGUGGCUGACCAGUAUCGACAGGCGCGAAACAUGCCAGUCAAUGACUCAAGCCCGCUGGACCCGUUCACGCUGGACAUCGACUGGGUCGCAGCCGUGGGCGGCUGCCCCUCCGCUGACACCGCUGCGGCACGUCAGCAGCGGGCACUGGCGGGCUGGGCGUUGCGGCAGUGGAUGCCGGAGCUGUUGCGACAGGCGGAAAGCGACGGCCCCGCAGCCGUAAACCGUGUGUACGCAGUCAGCCAUGCGCAGGACAUGGCUAUCAGGGCCCUAUGGCCGGUGAUGCGUGAGCACCUGCUAGCGAGUGGCAGGACGGCCGCAGCAUCAGCCACCGCCUCCUGCCCGGCCGACGCCGCGGCGAACGCAGCGGGCUGGCGGCACUUCCUGCUGAACGGGCUGGACGCUUUGGGCUGGACGGAGCGAUUGCUGGCAAAGACGGCAAACGCCCCGCCAACGGCGGACGACAUGCAUGAAUGGAGCUGGUGGAUGCUGCUGGGGCUGUCGCUCCUAGCCCUCAGCGAGGUGCCUGGUGGGCUGGAGGUGUGCGAUGCCGCGGCCAGCGCGGGGGGCUGCAAAGCAGCCGCGGGCAGCAGCAGCAGCAGCAGCAGCACUGUAGCAGCGACGCCGGGGCAGCUGCAUGCAGGAGGGGCGGCUGGGGUCGGCAGCACCAGCAGGCGGCAGGAGCGGCGGCAGCAGCAGCAGCGCAUGCUGCAGCACCUGCGUCAGAUGUCACGUCAUAUGGAAGGGGGCUGGGCCGCCGCGACUAUUGGCAGUGUGGAGCUGUCGCUGCAAGCGGUGUGGGAGCAGGCGGAGGCAGUAGGGCUUCACCCCAGCGACUCGGCGGCGGCUGGCGGCGGUGCGGCAUUGGCUGCCGCGCCCGCUGCCACUGCUGUGAACCCGCCGCCGCCAGCCUACAAGGUGCCGGAGCGGCUGCUUACGGGCCUGGCAGCUGGGAGCAGUGGGAUUGUGACGCUGUGGGGCGGCGUGCCCUUGGUGCCGGGUGCGGAGCAGAUGGCGGCGUUGCUGGGCGAGGCGGGCCUGGUGCUGUGCGGCAACCCCGCCUGCAGCAGUCUGGAGGGCGACAGCGAGGCAGGUCUCAUGGCGGCGGGAGCUGCGGCGGGGCAGCAGCGGGGCGGCCGGGGCGAGGCCGCCGGCGGGGGCGGACGCAUCAAGACGUGCUCCCGCUGCCGCGCGGUGCGGUACUGCUGCGGUGCGUGCCAGCUGCAGCACUGGACCACGGGCGGGCACAAGGAGGCGUGUGCCGGGGCUGCUGGGGGCAGUGGCGGGGCGGGCGGUGGUAGCAAGGCCGGCAGGUGAAGGGUUGCAUGGGCUUACGGCUUCUAGGACCUUGCAUGAAUGAACAGACAUAUGCGUUGAUGCGUAUGGCGAUAAGUCGAUACGGUGUUAUCGUGCUGCAUUGCAUUUGUUGCUGUAUAAAUGGAUGCGGUGAAGCAGGAUAGGCACCGCGCAGCCGUGGCAGCGGAUGGACGUGUCAGCAAUGUGCAUGUGUGGGUGUCGUAUUGACGGGCGCGUGUUGAUAGGGCGCCUAGCUGGUGCUCCUGCAAGAUUUCGGGCGAGGCCUAGGCCUUCUGUGAGUAUGUAUGCGCGUUGGACAGCGCAGCGAGUUGAUGGCGGGUACAGUACUGUACCGGCACUACGGCCCGCUUCAGACGGCGCGUGCGGUUGGCUGUGGGACAGGCUUGUAGGUACCGUGUAUGGGAGCCACCGCCAGAUAGCCUGCACCCGCUGAUUGGCGCCACAAAUUUGUACAGCGCUGAGCGGCUUAGGCAUGGCGAAACGCAUGUGUAUGUUGGACCCUUGGUGCAACCAUUGGGUGCCGGGAGGUGGUCGACAAGCGGUGGCGAGUUCAGUCCAUUCUGUUACGCGGCCGAUUGUAUCAGUACCAGAUUGGUGCCGUUAUGCAGUACAAGCUGAUUGGGGCAGCACCGGAUUGGUGUGAUGGGACAGGGUAAGGAGCAGGUUGGCGACUUGGCGUAGUCUCGUAGUGUGCAACGUAUUCCCAGACGACCCAGCAUGCAGCAAUCAAGUUGCGAUUUCAACGCUUGUGCGCGUGACUGAUAAAGUUCUGGAGUGACUGUACGAGGCGUCGCUUGCUUGCUUGUAGGCGGGUAGUUACGCUGACGCACAUUGAUUGAUCGUUAGGGUUCCACUUGCCGUUGCUCGUGGAGUUGUUUGAUGACCACCAUUGACAGUUGCCAGUAUGCGGUGCGGGGUGUCGUACGGAAGCCGUCAGCAGGAGUAGAAGGGAGGGAGGGAGGGAGGGGGCCGGGCGGAUGACAGCACGGAACUAGCCGUGUGGAGUGGGUCCAAAGGGGCAAAGGCUGGGGCAGUGGCCAUGGGCAGUGGCCGAGCUGUGGCACCCAUUGCAUCUGCGGCAUGAAUGCAUGAUUUAAACUUGCCCGGCUAUGACUGCAGCUUUUGGCCGCAUCCUAAGCUAAUGAAAAGCAACGUUGCUGCAAGCCGCCGAGUUCCCUAUAUCAUUUUCCAGCUUUUGAGUGCCUGAUCUUGCUUGAUCCCCAGUUUGCCAGUUCCUGCACGUUGCCUGAUUCGCAACCGACAUGCGUAGAGGCAGAGCUGCGGGGGGCCGGCAGAAGAGCGCUGUCGAACGGGACCUGUCGACCGCGCUGUCAUCGCUCAGGGCUGGCCAGGGCCUGCAAAGGCACCUCGUCGACAGGCUCGGAUCUUGUCGCGAUGAAAUGCGUAACAUGGAGCAAUCGCCCGAAAACAACGCGGCCGUGCUCGCUGUGCUAGGCUGGG
rnacentral:lncRNA from 1 species